rnacentral:rRNA from 1 species
AUUGAACGCUGGCGGCAGGCCUAACACAUGCAAGUCGAACGAGUGGCAGACGGGUGAGUAAUGUCUGGGAAACUGCCCGAUGGAGGGGGAUAACUACUGAAAACGGUAGCUAAUACCGCAUACCAUCGGAUUUGCACAGAUGGGCUUAGCUAGUGGGUGGGGUAACGGCUCACCUAGGCGACGAUCCCUAGCUGGUCUGAGAGGAUGACCAGCCAAAUUGGAACUGAGACACGGUCCAGACUCCUACGGGAGGCAGCAGUGGGGAAUAUUGCACAAUGGGCGCAAGCCUGACACAGCCAUGCCGCGUGUAUGAAGAAGGCCUUCGGGUUGUAAAGUACUUUCAGCGAGGAGGCGUUACCCGCAGAAGAAGCACCGGCUAACUCCGUGCCAGCAGCCGCGGUAAUAC